rnacentral:lncRNA from 1 species
UUUUUUUUAGUGUGGUACGGCCCCAUUUUGUAGUUUCACACAUGGCCCCGGAUUUUGCCGGCCCAACCCUGGUAACUGGGCAACCUGUCCGGACAUAUGAGGCGGGNNNNNNNNNNNNNNNNNNNNNNNNNNNNNNNNNNNNNNNNNNNNNNNNNNNNNNNNNNNNNNNNNNNNNNNNNNNNNNNNNNNNNNNNNNNNNNNNNNNNNNNNNNNNNNNNNNNNNNNNNNNNNNNNNNNNNNNNNNNNNNNNNNNNNNNNNNNNNNNNNNNNNNNNNNNNNNNNNNNNNNNNNNNNNNNCUAUCGGCCCCCCUCGAUGUUUCACGGGACAUACUAGUAGUAUUAUAUGCUACUCCCUCUGUCCCAUAAUAUAAGAACGUUUUUUACACUAGUGCAGUGUCAAAAACGUUCUUAUAUUAUGGGACGGAGGGAGUAAUACAUAUGCUAAUUGGCGGGAGCUAAUGGCAACUUUAAUUAGUAUAAGUCAGCCCAUAAUUGAUACUAAUCCGUCUAGUACACAAACCGAAGCCCAGCCCACUUUUACCCUCGGUUGUAAAAGGCUGGAAGCCUACAUGCACGUUUGCUCUUUCAGUAAUUUGGGAGGACCAUGGUUGUUAUCUAGGGUUCCUACCGCCGCUCGUGGCUUGCUGCUCCCACAGCCUCGCUCCCAACUGCAGAGCGCUGCUCCAGUUUGCCGGCCGCCGGCAGCUAGCAAACUACUCAGAUCACUAUAUGGCGCAGGUUGCUUCGACGGUGUUAGUCACUUUGUUGAUUCAGAUACGGAGCCUCGUACUCAAAACAUUUGCGCGUGGUCUAGGGUUUGGUUUCGAAGGUACACCAACAUACACUCUCCUUACUCCUAGUACUUCCUAGGGAUUACGACAUAGCAGGCUAACUAUUCUAGCAAAUAAGAUAACAGAUCAAUUUACUAAUUAGACGUUUCUUUGAACUUUUGAGAAAAUAUUGCUACUAAUUGUCAUCAUUCUGUUCAUAAUUAAAUUUCCUAGUUGUAUGGUCAAUAUAUCUUCUGGGCAAUAUUGUACAAGCUAAGUACUCCCUCCGUCUCAAAAUUCUUGUCUUAGAUUUGUCCAAAUACGAAUGUAUCUAGCUACGUUUUAGUGUUAGAUACAUCCGUAUAUAGACAAAUCUAAAACAAGAAUUUUAGGACGGAGGGAGUAUUAGAUUAUGUACAUAUAGAUAAUUGUUACAUAUGACUAUUUAUAAUAGUUUAAAAAAAAGUGUAUUUACAACGUGUUGUGGAGUGCAAAAAAUUUAGUUUUUGACUCGCCCCCUAUGUCCAAUUCCUGGCUCCGCCCCUGGGUUUAAGAGGUCUGGUUAUAGAUGCUCUAAGGCUCCGUCCGAUGCACAGUUUUGUAAAACACGGGAAAGCAAAAUCCUCAGGAAUAGAAAAACCAGCUAGCUACGAAACAGAGUAACUGAAACAUACGAAGGCCUACGUUCGGCUAUGCCUGUGAAGUAGAGGAAGCUUUUCUAGCGGGAGGUAGUCUAUCAAAUAUUUUAACUGGUUGAGGCCCAUAAUCUGGCACAAAUACUGUAUGCUUUAUUUACAGUAGUCAUUAGACACGUAUAUAAUUAUUAUUUUAUUUAGACUAACAGCUUAGGCUGGAUGUUUCUCUUCCCGUGAAAAGUGAAGGAAAGAGGAUCUUUCCAUAGCGGAUGCAUGUAUGAUGCAUUCCCCUGAUUACUUUCGAUACAUGGAAAUAAAUAAUCUGGUGCCUUGAAUGACCGGCCGCUGAUUGUUAUGCAGCACCUUUUAUUUGAUGAUUCGGUCUGAUUAAUUGUCAUCCUUCUUUGUUUGCUUAAUAGUAGCAAAGGAGAGAAUUAGCAUUUGGCGGGCAAACAUUCUGGCGCCACCACGUUUUUGUUUCCCGCCACUGUGUUGUAUAUAUAUGCGCGCGCGCACGUCCGAUUGACACACAACGACCAUCAGCCUGACAUAACAAAGCAAUUCCAUGGCUCCCCGUCUACCUCCUUUUGUCUCCUCCCCUGAUCUUAUAGAAAUCUCUGAUGAUGAGAUCGCCCCCAAGGUCCAAAGAGAUUGUAGUCACUGAUUCCGAAUAUGAGGACGACCAAGGCAAUGGCGCAUCCUAUGCCAAGGCCGUGUCCACGGCCGCUUCGCUCGUUGCUGCUAGCACCAACGGUGGCGACUCCUGCGGCAACGGUGGCGACUCCCUCGACAACGGCGGCUGGGGCGGCGACUCCCACGGCAACGACGACUGCGGCGGCGACUCCCACGACAACGGCAACAACAGCGACUCCGACAACGCCUCAUCGGCCGCACCAACUCGACCGAAGCAGAGGCCACCAUACAAUUACUGGCGUAGCCAGGAUAUUGUUCAGCUUUUGAAAACCGCUACAAAGCUGCGCGAGGAUUACGGCGAAGCGCGCGUACCUGCAUCCACACUUCUAGAGGAGUUCCUGAAGGGUGGGAAGCCGAUCCGCUGUGGCAAGCUCAUAUCGCGAAACAUCACGACAAGAUGAGGUAUUCGUUGAAGAUAUUUUCUGAUAUGUGCAUGGAAGAUCCCAAACGUAAGUUUCGAAAAGUGCGCACAGGGUCUGAAAAAGAACUCUUUAACUGCUGCAAAGAGUUGUGGCCCUAGCUAAAUGUUGCGAAGAGUAGUGGCCCCAGCUGAAUUCAGCUAAGGCCACAACUCUUUGCAACAUUCAAAGAAUUCUUUUUCAGUCCGUGUGCGCACUUUCCGAAACUUACGAUUUGUGAUCUUCCAUGCACAUAUCAAAAAAUAUCUUCCGCGAAUACCUCAUCUUGUUGGUGAUGUUGCGUGAUAUGAGCUUGCCACGGCGGAUCGGCUUCCCACCCUUCAGGAACUCCUCUAGAAGUGUGGAUGCAGGUACGCGCGCUUCGCCGUAAUCCUGGCGCAGCUUUGUAACGGUUUCAGAAGAUGAACAAUAUCCUGGCUACGCUAGUAAUUGUACGAUGGCCUCUGCUUCUGCCGAGUUGGUGCGGCCGAUGAGGCGUUGUCGGAGUCGGAGUCGUCGUUGUCGGAGUCGCUGCCGUUGCCGUUGCCGUGGGAGUCGCCGCUGUAGUCGUCGUUGCCGUGGGAGUCGCCACCCCAGCCGCCGUUGCCAUGGGAGUCGCCGCCGUUGCCGCGGGAGUCGCCACCGUUGGUGUUAGCAGCAACGAACGAAGCGGCCUUGGCAUAGGAGGCGCCAUUGCCUUGGUCGUCCUCAUGUUCGGAUCAAUGACUACAAUCUCCUUGGGGGCGCUCUCAUCAUAAGAGAUUUCUAUACGAUCAAGGGAGAAGACAAAAAGAGGUAGACGGGAAGCCAUGGAAUUGCUUUGUUAUGUUAGGCUGAUGGUGGUGGUGUGUCGAUCAGACGUGCGCGCGCACAUAUAUAUACAACACACAGUAGCGGGAAACAAAAAUGUGGUGGCGCCAGAAUGUCUGCCCGCCAAAUGCUAAUUCCCUCCUUUGCUACUAUUAAGCAAACAAGGAAGGAUGGCAAUUAAUUAGACCGAAUCGUCAAAUAAAAGGUGCUGCAUAACAAUCAGCAGCCGGUCAUUCAAGGCACCAGAUUAUUUAUUUCCAUGUAUCGAAAGUAAUCAGGGGAAUGCAUCAUACAUGCAUGAAUUGUGCCUCGGCAUCCGCCCAAACAAGAGCUUAGGCUGGAUGUUUCUCUUCCCAUGAAAAGUGAAGGAAAGAGGAUCUUUCCAGAGGAAUGGUUGUAGUCAUUCCUUUGGAUCGAACAGCUUCAUAGCGACUUUUUUUUGAAGGAACCUGAAUCUGUACAAUUCCUCCAAAUUUCCUUCAAACCGAACGCUGCCUAAAGGUGCAGGCCGUCGAAUCACUAUUUUGAAUCACUAUAUCUUCAUCAUGCUGUCGAUGAAAGAUUUCACCUCCAUAAAGAAUCAAGGCAGCAAAAAAAGCUUGAGACAUCAACAUAAACUCAUCAAAUCCGAAUAAUCGGAUCUGCGAAGAUAGAAAACUCUCUAACCCCAUGGCAUUGCCAAAAGGACGAGAGGAAAUUUAUUCUCACAAAAUUAUGAUGAUCACUAGACAUUGAGCAAGAACAUAAAGGUCUGAAUUUCUCAGAUGGCAGCCGCAGCUGAGGGGAUCUCAAUUUCUCAGAUGGUGGCGGCAACAACGGCAUGAGAGAAUUCUUUCUUAUUGAUUUGUAAGAGCAUCUCCGAUGUUGGCCAGCAAAUUAUCUGGCAACCGUUCGCAGACACAGAUUUGGAAGCCGACCACAUCCUACGUAUCUGGUAUAUGUCUGUCAGUAACUAAAAGAUAAUUUAAAUGCAAAUAAAAAAUCCGAUCCACAACGCCGGAUCACACUAGCGCCCGAUGACGGUGUCCUGGACUAGGGGGUAGUCACCAUGUCGUCUCCCGAUCAGUUAGAUUGGGCCGAGGACCCCAUGGCCGCAUACUCAUGGGCCAGUUCGGACAACCCCUGCCGCAUACAAGGAAGACUCCACAAGACUUGGCGCCCAAGACAAGGACUCUCCUAAACCCUAGGCCUCCGGUGUCUUAUAUAAACCGAGGCCAGGCUAGUCAAUGGACAAUCUCGUAUUCAUUACUACGAUCUCGUGGUAGAUACAUGUACUCUGUACUACACCCCAUACAAAUACAAUCAAAAGCAGCAUGUAGGGUAUUAUCUCUUCAAGAGAGCCCGAAGCUGGGUAAAACCCUGUGUCCAUGUUACCAUCGCUCCAAGACGCCUAGCUUAGGACCCCUACUACGAGAUACGCCGGUUUUGACACCGACAUUGAUGCUUUCAUUGAGAGCCUGCUGGGCGAUCGUCGCGGAUUGAUGGGAUAAUCAGGUUAUAUUUUUUCAGUUGGAUCUGUUUUGUAGAUAUCUAUUUCUUGCAAAUUAUUCUCUGUCAAUCUGUGAAAUUUUCUUCGCAGACGUAUUCUAGAUCGAAACCUACAUGAAUAAUCGAUCUACUCUGCCGUUCCGAUUUGUUAUGCGGCGGCCGCCAUCUGAUACUUUGAUGCUUCUGCGGCUGCUAGCCAUCUGAUACUUUGAUGCUUCUGCGGCUGCUGUCCGAACGGACGUGCAACACACGCCGAUCUAAUCACGCAUAGGCGUGCACCAGCCGUGCGCCUGCUGGUUCCUUGGGAGUAGGGCUGCAAGAAAAGCUCGAGGCUCGUGAGCCGCUCGAGAUCGACUCAUUUUUUGACUCGACUUGAGAUCGACUCGAAAAGAAACGAGCUGAGUUUGAACACUUUACGUAGCUCGACGGAGAAAUGAGUCGAUCUUGAGCCAAUGUUGGCUCGCUCGAUUUUAGCUCGAUAGCUCGACAAAAUAUCAUUAUGUUAAAUGAUCUUGCCAUAUAUUAAAUGAAAAUAAGAUAAUUUUAUUACCAUAUAUGUUAUACAUAUUUUUUCUCCAUUUUAUUUACCAACGAACAUGAAAACUUAAUUAAGUGCUGAGAAGAUUUAGACCUAAUUAUGGCACGUGGUCAACUAUGUGUUAAAUAUCAUAUAUUUUUGACAAAGGUUCCCAGCAUAUUCACCUUAAUUUUUUUGUUUUUCAUCCAUAGAUUUAUAAUUUUUACCAUCUCAUUUAGCUCGAAACUAGCUCGAGAUCGACUCGAGCUCGUUACAAGCUGAGCACGAUUCAUGUUCUAUAGCUCGAUCAUGAGCUUCAUUUAGUUUGAGCUCGCUCGAAUUUGCAUAUGAAUUGAGCUGAGCCAACUCUAACUCGCUCGAGCUCGACUCGUUUGCAGCCCUACUUGGGAGCUGAGUACUACUGAGGAUAGUCCAUCUUUAUCUAAUCGUUUAAUAGUCCACCUCGAUCAUGUUGAUUCCUCCUCACGUGGGAGCCUAGUACUCAAUACUAGGAAAAGUAGUACACAUGAUGUGACCCAUACAUGCUUGACAACGCCGGUUGUCGUUUUCUCUUUGGAUCAUUGCAUCCGCCAUUGAGCAAAUCAGGUGCUAUUCUUCCUCACAAUUUCAUAUAGCAUAAAUUAUCCGUGCCUCAUAUUUUUGCCAGUCUGCACUAUUUUGUGUAUACAGAUCGCAGUACAACCGGUUUCCUGUCUGCGGUCCGUCGAACAACGCGUCUGGAACUCGGAUCGCCCAGCGAAAUCGGAUUUUAUUGUGUCUUCACCGCAUCACACGUACGCCCUACAUCAACACGAACUUCGACCCCAGGCCUACUAGUACUAUUACUAGUACUCACGCACCACAUAUGGGAUCGACCAGGUUACACAUCAUAUAGAAGUUUUGGACAGUUUUUCCACCGCUAAGGCUAUAGAUCACGUGCACUUAUUCCACUUUUAUUACUCUGUAUAAUUUAAUGUAUCCAGAAAACUCUUUGCUUUUGAUGUGCAUUCUUGGGUACGCAGGUUCAUCUGUUCGGACAUAGAUGCCAUACAGACACCGGGCUGGUCCGCCGCCCCGUCAUUAUGACAGUCCGACAACCACUGCACCUGACAUCUCCGCACAACGAGCUUGGAUCAUGCCGACGGUGUCACCUCGGCGCACGCUCCUGUGCCGACAUCUCCACGCGGCCACUCUUUUGGGACGACCUCGGCGUUCAGGCCAUAUUUAUUUAAUUAUCUACUUUACUUAAGUUAAUUAAGUAGAGGAUAUUUUUUAUAUAAAAAAACAUAUAUAUUAUCAUCUCUUGCCUUGCACUAUUCUGUCUCUGCAGGCAAUUGACUUACACCGCGCAUUACCUGGCGCAACGACGCCCAUUGGGUCCGAAGAAAGUUCGGCUCAGCGCAAUCACAUGGAGAUUUGACCUCUUUUUUCCUUUCUCCCUUUAUAUUAUUUAAUUAAGCAGGUAAUGGACUUCGACCGCGUCACGUGGUCUCUUUGGCAAGCCGACGUCGUCGUCCCAAUCGGCGUAUCGCACGAUCAACUUGUUGGUCGCGUUGCCAUACCGACGUGUUCGGUUGCCUCGGGGACUUCAGCAUCGCCGAGAAAGCUCUACCUUAUCGAGUGUUCGGCGCACAGGCCAUACUUCUUUUAUCUUCGGUUUGCACUAUUUCUUGUGCACAGGAGAAUGAUCCAGAUUGGGCAGCGCUGUCACCUUGGUGUACCUACAUACUACGUCAUCUCGGUUGGACGGGGGCAUCAUCAACACUUCGUUACCCCACGCCGGGGACUUCGGCGUCACUCUGUCGGCCUGCAUUGGCCGUACUAUGUCACCACUUCGGAUUGCCCAGCUCUUUGCUCCGCCACCUCGGGACCGGCUUGGGGGCUGGGACCUUGUCCCGCCGUAAGCUCGGACCGCGUCAUCAAUGCCGAACACAUUAACCAGCUAAGUCGCUUUCAUGCUCAAAGUUUUAAAAUUUUAAAUUUUGUUCGGUCCGACCAAGCGUUAUACUUUUUUUAGCAAAAAGUGGUUUGUGAAAGACUUCCUUGUCCAAACUUUGUUUGUGACACACAAAUUCAAAUACCCCAUUCACUCGGGGGCUUCCUUUAUGAAGCAUUUCCUCUUGCAUAUGAUUAUACUUGUACGGCUUCGUUCCUUGUUCGUGUAUUACGCCACAAUAUGCACCAUAUUGACUUAAGUUGUUCCGCAAGCUGGGUUGCCUGGCUCAUGUGCUUUCCCUACGUUCCCGAUUGUUCUGCUAGGGAGUAAAGGAAGCACCUCUGCGAUUGUCACGACCGGAUCGUCCGAGCUCUGACCUCAGACUGGGUGAAGCCGAAAGCUAGCGCUCUUAUUGUUUUCAAUUAUGGUCGGCACACAACGGAACUCAUGAGUAUAAAAACUCUAUUGCACAAGUCUCAUAACAGCAAUGAGCAACCGAAGAAAGGUAUCGGUGGGGGUACUAUUUUCUUCGAAGAUGCUUCUUACACUUCGUUAGUAAUAUAGCAUAAGUUCCCUAAGCGCGCUUUGUCUGUUACAGCAUUAUGGCCUGAUUGCUUGGUUGUCGAAAACACCGCCGAUAUUCUCGACAGGUGGAGUACAUAACACUUUUCAGCCCUUGGCCGAAGAGGGAGAAGCCGGCGGUCGGUUAAGACGCGUUUAAAGUUCGGGUGAACACAUAUAUGAUAUAAGUACUUCGGUACAUACAAUCAUUAUACAUAAAAUUCUUUUACCCAAGUCACUCGGGGGCUCUUAAAUUUAUGUGAGAUGUUUUAUAAUAAGUGUUCUUCUUCCUAGUCGUUGCAAAGUCUUUUUUCUAUCACUCCUUUUUUCGAUGCGAGUGUGUGGUCAAUAGCCGGGGGCCUAAUUUCCCUCUCACAGCCGCUAAAGUUUGCUAAACUGGCAUAACAAGAAGUACUCCGCCUUCGGGAUAGGAGGUUGAAGCCAUAGGUUGACCCGCUUGAAGUCUUGAGAUAGGAUAUGUCAUGUUAAAGCACGACAGAAGCACAUUUUUUUCUCUAAGACCAAUUUUCUAAUUGGCACCGAACAAUUGAUCUAGUUCGGACGUCGAGUUUUUUCCUGACGUUUUUUGGUUUUCCAAUCCUAUGGCACUUUUCAACUAUUUGUGUGUUUUCCGCGUAAGUCUCGCAGUGCAACGCCGGACACCUUUAGAGAUUCGGGAAAAAUUCUUGGAUAUUGCUAUAUAUGCAUCAGUUUCGAAUUGUGUCUUCGGUCAAUAGUUGGGUUGCCCGGCUCCUGUGCUUGCCUCCUAUGUUCUGCUUUGUUCGGCUAGGUGUGCAAAGGGAGAACCACUGCGAUUGUGCUUCUAGCUCGCAUGGUUAAGCACCGUAGUGGAGAAAGCCGAAAACUGACUAUCACAAUAAGCGUAAACUGGUCAGCAGUCCGAUGACUGUAUUAAAAGACGGGCCGUUCAUAACAUUGGCCGAGUGUUUACGGCUUGACCUCGGCUGUCGUCGAACACUAAGCGGGGGGCUACUUGCUGGCCUCCCAACUUUAAGAUCCUAUGACUAAGUGAAAGUUAUAAAGCCCGCAUAUCUGAUUGCCUCGUUUCUGCCAACACAACCGCCUUCGGGCACCGAGACGUCGGCUAAGGGUUGUUUUGUUAUUUCGGAAACACCCUGCGUAGCAUCUACAAGGGGGUAGAAGCCGACGAUGGGCCACUUUCAGAUUAUAAACGGUCGCAACGGAAGUGAAAAUUUGGGUUCAUCUAGACCAUAGAGUUUGGAAGCUUUUCCUGAACUAAAUCCUCAGUAUUUUCCUCCCACAUUGAUCGGAGCCGAGGUUUCAUGAUCAUGCUUAGCAUAACAACCCAAAGAAAGGAACCGAUAGCGGGACUAUUUUCUUUGGACGAUGUUUCUUAUGUUAAAACAAUAAUAUAACAUGUCUCUCUAUGUACCUUUGUUUAUAAAACCGUAUGGCCGGAUUGCCUUGUUUGCCAUAAAUCUUUUCCCUCGUAAAGGCUUUAUAAAGUGGGACAAACACUCCCCGGCUACUGGACGAGGAGGUUGAAGCCGAUGGCCGGUCAACAAAGUUUUGUACAAUGCCGAUCCGAGCAUUGAUGAUGUAAAGUACUUAGAUACAUAGAAUCAUUACACAUAAUUUGUGAUUUUACUUUGGAUAUUGAUCCUUAAUUCGGCCACCAGUGCCCACAUUAAGGAUCGGGGGCUACUAGGCUUUGUGCUUAUUAUUUACAAAGAUUAAAGGGGUACAUCGAUCCCUGAUCUGGUGUUGCCACCCAACCAGUGUCUCGGGGGCUACUGCAUUGCCUGUCCAAUGCAAAAAAAUUAAAGUGCAAUAUAGUUUUCGAGGAGAUUAUUAUCCUCAGGUUGGUCGUCUGCACCCAACCUGAGUCUCGAGGACUUUGCACACCGCGUUUCUAUUCCUAUGUAUGCUACCGAGCUAGGAGUUGAUCCUCAGGCCGAUUUCGCGCAUCGACCUGAGUCUUAGGGGCAACUAGGAUCAGCAGUUUCAUGUUUUCCUUCAGGUGCAUCUCGGGUUUUAGACCGACGCACACACCUUGAGGGUUACUGGCUAUAUAUCUCGGUAGAGAAUAAAUUGCACCAAUCAAAAAAUCAGCCCGCGGUCAGGGGUGGUGCACCACCUCGGAAGCAGUCCGGCAUUAAGCUCGGGCGCUAGUGGCUAGCUCCAUAGAGGGCAUUUCCGGCAUUAAGCUCGACUAAACUCCUUAAAAAAUUUGAACCCUGAUGAUCUAUGACAUCUCGGAUAUAGUCCGGCAUUGGAACUCGGAUACAGUCCGGCAUUGGAGCUUGGACACAUUCCGGCGUUAGAGCUUGGAUACAUUUUGGCGUUGGAGCUAGGAAGCAGUCCGGCAUUUGUGCUUGGCUGCAAAAGAUACCUCGGAUGCAAUCCGGCGUUGGAGCUCAGAUGCAAGAGGACACUGCCGCCCGGGAAUAACUUCAAACCUGAGGUGUGGCAUAAUAAUAACAAGGCAUUGAUAAAGGCCAGAAACUUAAAGGGGCUCCUUGGAUACCUGACAUAUAAACUCUUCGGAUUUACUUCGCGAUCCUCAAGAUCGAAGAUGAGAAGAUUUGUUGAACCAGUUUUCAAGACCGACGACCGAAGAUGAAGAACAGUUCGGAAGAAUCGAGGAGCGUCCCCAACUUGAAGACCGGUUCAGGGGGCUACUGACGGUGUCCUGGACUAGGGGGUAGUCACCAUGUCGUCUCCCGAUCAGUUAGAUUGGGCCGAGGACCCCCAUGGCUGCAUACUCAUGGGCCAGUUCGGACAACCCCUGCCGCAUAGAAGGAAGACUCCACAAGACUUGGCGCCCAAGACAAGGACUCUCCUAAACCCUAGGCCUCCGGUGUCUUAUAUAAACCGAGGCCAGGCUAGUCAAUGGACAAUCUCAUAUUCAUUACUACGAUCUCGUGGUAGAUACAUGCACUCUGUAGUACACCCCAUACAAAUACAAUCAAAAGCAGCAUGUAGGGUAUUAUCUCUUAAAGAGAGCCCGAAGCUGGGUAAAACCCUGUGUCCAUGUUACCAUUGCUCCAAGACGCCUAGCUUAGGACCCCUACUACGAGAUACGCCGGUUUUGACACCGACACCCGAUGAUAUGCUCGAUCACAACAAAAGGAGGUAAGUAUGCUUAAGUUUUUUACAUGCCUGAUCACAACAGAAAUAUUAGUCCGGCAGUCAAAAUUGACAUUUUUGCCCCGCCGGACCGGCAAUCCGAGCCUCCUCCAUGCUCAAGGUGUCAUCACCGCCAUGUAUGCACCCUUCCGCCUCCGCCUCCUCCCCAUCCGCCGCCUCCAACUCAUUUUUCUCCCGCCGCAACAUCUUCUAGCGGACGACUGACACAAUCAUUCUUACGUCGGCAUCCAAAGACUCCACCUUCAAGAACAACACCUUGGCGUCCUCCGCGCUAGCUAUGAUCUUCAUCUUCUUUUCCUUGGACAUCAACUUCUUCUCCUCGAGCAUGGCUUUUUUCUCUUCGAUGAAAGCCCUCUUUGUUGGGGAACGUUGCAUGGAAAACAAAAAAUGUUCUACGCACACACAAGAUCUAUCCAUGGAGAUGCAUAGCUACGUGAGGGGAGAGCAUCUUCAUACCCUUGAAGAUCACUAAGCGGAAGCAUUUAUCAACGCGAUUGAUGUAGUUGUACACCUUUACGAUUCAUCUCGAUCAAGUAUCGAACGUACGACACCUCCGCGUUCAGCACACGUUCAACUCGAUGAUGUCCUCGCCUUCUUGAUCCAGCAAGAGGGCAAAGUAGUAGAUGAGUUCCGGCAGCACGACGGCGUGGUGACGGUGGUGGUGAAGAACAAUCUCCUUAGGGCUUCACUAAGAACAACGGAAACUAUGACAGAGGAUAAACUAGAGGGUGCGGGGUUGCUGGCACACGGCUUGGUGAUUCUUGAUGUGUUCCGGGUGCUAGCCCUACCCCUCUAUUUAUAUGUUGAGCCCUGGGGUCGUAACUUGGAGAAAGGGCCUCCUCGAAGUCGGUUUGGCAUGCAAGGCAAGAGUCCUUCUCGGAAUCCAGGACCAGACGCCAGGGUCCUCGGCGUCUUGCCCCUGGCCUUCGCAAAACUGCCUUUUGCACUUUCCAAAAGCCUCGUGGGCUUUACCCCUUGGCCCAAAUAAAGUGUUCUCGUACCCGAACAUUUCGGGAAACAUCCGAAACCCCUUCCGGUGAGUUCUGGGAACCUUCCAGAGACUAAACACUAUUAUCCCAUAUAUCAAUCUUUGCCUUUGCAUUAUUCCGGAACUCCUCGUCAUGUCCGUGAUCUCAUCCGGGACUUCGAACAACAUUCGGUCACCAACAUACAUAACUCAUAUAAUACUAUAUCGUCAACUAACAUUAAGCGUGUGGACCCUAUGGGUUCGAAAAUGAUGUAGACAUGACCGAGUCGCUUCUCAAGUCAAUAACCAAUAGCAGGACCUGGAUGCCCGUAUUGGUUCUUACAUAUGUAGUUCCCUUUGUCUAUCGGAGAUUCGAUCGUCAGUAUCUCCAUACCUAGUUCAAUCUUGUUACCGGCAAGUCUCUUUACUCGUUCUGUAAUACAUCAUCCUGUAACUAACUCCUUAGUCACUUUUAUUGCAAGCUUCUUGUGAUGUUGUAUUACCGAGAUGGCCCAGAAAUACCUCUCUGUCAUACGGAGUGACAAUCCCAGUUUCGGUCCAUGCCAAUCCAACAAACACCUUCGGAGAUACCUGUAGAGCACCUUUAUGAUUACCCAAUUACGUUGUGACGUUUGAUGGCACACAAGGCAUUCCUCCGGAUUCCGGGAGUUGCAUGAUCUCAUCGUCGAAGAAACAUGUAUUUGACAUUAAGAAAGCAAUAGCAAUAAAUUGAACGAUCAUAUGCUAUGCUAACGGUUGGGUCUUAUCCAUCACAUCAUUCUCCUAAUGACGUGAUCCCGUUAUCAAAUGACAACUCAUUCUAUGGUUAGGAAACCUUAGCCAUCUUUGAUCAACGAACUAGUCUAGUAGAGGCUCACUAGGGACACAGUGUUGUCUAUGUAUCCACACAUGUAUAUGAGUUUCCGAUCAAUACAAUUCUCGCAUGGAUAAUAGAAGUUUAUCAUGAACAAGGAAAUAUGAUAAUAACCAAUUUAUUAUUGCCUGUAGGGCAUAUUUCCAACAAUCUCCCACUUGCACUAGAGUCAAUAAUCUAGUUCACAUCGCCAUGUGAUUAACAGCCAAAGAGUUCACUAGAGUCAAUAAUCUAGUUCACGUCGCCAUGUGAUUAACACCCAAAGAGUUCACUAGAGUCAAUAAUCUAGUUCACAUUGCCAUGUAAUUAAUACCAGAGAGUUCUAAGGUGUAAUCAUGUUUUGCUUGUGAGAGAGGUUUUUAGUUAACGGGUCUGCAACAUUUAGAUCGUGUGUACUUUACAAAUCUUUAUGUCAUACUAUAGAUGUUGCUAUCAUGCUUUACUUGGAGCUAUUCCAAAUGACUGCUCCAUUAUACUUUUUUCAUCCGGUUUGCUAUUCAGAGUUAUCCAUAUAGGUGUGAAAGCUUGCAUCGACUUAGCCCUUUACGACGAACUCUUUAUCACUUCCAUAAUCGAGAAACAUUUUCUUAGUCCUCUAGUUACUAAGGAUAAUUUUGACUGAUGUCCAAUGAUCCACUCCUUGAUCACUCUUGUACCUCCUUUGCCAGACACGUGGAAAGGAACACAUCAGGUGUGGUACGCAACAUGGCAUAUCAUAUAGAGCCUAUGGCUAAGGCAAAGGGGACGACCUUCCUCCUUUCUCUUUCUUCUGUCGUGGUCGAGCUUUGAGUCUUACUCAACUUCACACCUUAUAAUACAUGCAAGAACUCCUUCUUUGACUGAUCCAUUUUGAACUCCUUCAAACUCUUAUCAAGGUAUGUACUCAUUGAAAGUCUUAUAAUGGGUUUUGAUCUAUCUCUUUAAAUCUUGAUGCCCAAUAUGUAAGCAGCUUCACUGAGGUCUUCCAUUGAAAAAUUCUUAGUCAAGUAUCCUUUUAUGCCUUCCAGAAGUUUUAUAUCAUUUCCAAUCAGUAAUAUGUCAUCCACAUAUAACAUUAAAAAUACUAUAGAGCUCCCACUCACUUUCUUGUAAAUACAUGCUUCACCAUAAGUCUGUAUAAAACCAAAUGCUUUGAUCACCUUAUCGAAGCAUUUAUUCCAACUCCGAGAUGCUUGCACCAUUCCAUAGAUGGAUCGCUGGAGCUUGCACACUUUGUUAGCACCUUUAGGAUCGACAAAACCUUCUGGUUGCAUCAUAUACAACUCUUCCUUAAGAAACCUGUUAAGGAAUGUAGUUUUGAUGUCUAUUUGCCAGAUUUCAUAAAAUGCGGCAAUUGCUAACAUGAUUCGUACAAACUUAAGUAUCGCUACGACUGAGAAAGUCUCAUCGUAAUCAAUCCCUUGAACUUGUCGAAAACUUUGUUACGACAAGUCGAGCUUUGUAGAUAGUGAUAUUACCCUCAACAUUUGUCUUCCUCUUGAAGAUCCAUUUAUUCUCAAUGGCUUGCCGAUCAUUGGCAAAUCCACCAAAGUCUACACUUUGUUCUCAUACAUGGAUCCUAUAUCAGAUUUCAUGGCCUCAAGCCAUUUUUUUUGGAAUCUGGGCUCAUCAUAGCUUCUUCAUAGUUCGUAGGUCCACCCUUGUCCAACAAAAUGACUUCCAGGACAAGAUUGACAUACCACUUUGGUGCGGAAUGUGCUCUGGUCGACCUACGAGGUUUAGUAGUAACUAGAUCUUAUGUUUCAUGAUCAUGAUCAUUUGCUUCUUCUCUGGCUUGUGUAGGCAUCAUGGGAACGACUUUCUCUGAUGUAUUACUUUACAAUUCGAUAGAAGGUACAACUACCUCAUCAAGUUCUACUUUCCUCUCACUCACUUCUUUCGAGAGAAACUCCUUCUCUAGAAAGGACCCAUUCUUAGCAACAAAGAUUUUUCCUUAGGGCAUCUCCAGCCGCGCCUUCAGGAAGGCCUCCCCAGGCGAUUUUUUCGCGCCGGCGCCAAAAAAACGGCCCAGUCGCGCCCCCAGGAGCCCGAUUUUCGCCGGCUUGGGCUGAAAACAGCGCCGACGGACAGAACCCGAACCCGGCGCGCUGGGGGGCGCCCGGGGGCGCCGGGGCGAGCUGUUUUGGCGCGAAAAAGACGCGGGCCAGCCGCGUCAGCGACUCGGCGCCUCGUCUUCCCCCAACAGCCUUGGUUCCCGCGGGGAAUCAAUGGCAAGGCUGCCGCCGGUCAGCCUUGCCAUUGAUUCCUCACGGGCGGCGCUUCACGGGAUGACGCGCCGACGCCUCCCCUCCCUUGCACGCGUACACACGGGCGCGGCCCGGCUAUAAAAGCCGGCCGCCUCCACUCGCCUGUGCCCACACCAGCCCCGCCCCUCACCGUCGUCCAGCCCCUCCCUCUCCCUGCCUCUCCCGAGCGCCGCCGCCCAGCCCCUCCCUCUACCUCUCCCGAGCCCGCCCAGCCCCGCCGUCGCCAUGGCAGAACUCUUCCCCGGAGACGAGGCAGCGACCAACGGCUUCGGCCGCCGUUCGCUCCGCGAACAAGAGUCCUGGCUCCUGUUCCAGGCGAACAUCCCGGUGCCGCCGGACAUGCGCGCCGGGCCAACGGGGUGGAGACUCAGCACCGGGGGAGUGCCCAUUCCCUCGUUGCUCGACGCCGUGGCAAAGCCGAACUACUUCGCCGAGGAGGUCGAGAUCGUGCGCGCGUCCCUCACCGACGCCCAGCUCUCCCUCCCCCAGUACGCCGCCGACAACCACGCGGCCUGGGCGGCGUAUUUCGAGCACCGCCAGCAGCAGCGAUUGGCAUCCACCAACGGCGCGCCGGUGGUCGGAGGCCGGCAGAACAGCGAGGGGCGCCACCUCUGGUGGGGCGUUCCCGGCCGCACACUCGAGGGCGUGCUCACGUACCUCGAGGGCGGCAACGACCCGUCGUUGGCGUACCCCCCGGCACAGCACCGACGCGUCGGGCCAUGGGCGCCAAGGAGGUUCGGGUCCUCCUCCUCCUCUUCCUCCUCCCGAUCCUCAUCAUACUCCUCCGGCACUCCGGCCCUGCUCGGCGUCAAGGCCGAGCCCGUGGCGGAGUCGCCGCUCGCCCGGCGCACUCGCAGCGUCGGCAUCGUCAUCAACGAGGGCAGCCGGCGCGCCUCCUCCUCGUCGGCUCCUCCGCGCUUUGUCAAGCCAAAGACGGAGCCGGGGCUGGCGCCGGUGAAGGCGGAGCCAGGGCUGGCGCUGGUGAAGGCGGAGUUCGACAACGACGACGCGGCCCUAGAAUGGGCGCGCCAGGACUCCAUUGCGAUGGAGAAGGCGCGCCGGGAGAAGGUGAAGGAGCGCCAGCGCGCCGCCCUGUGCCGCUUCGAGGAGCGCCGACGCGGCCGCGAUGAAGAUGGGGUUGUCGUCCUAUGCGACAGCGACGACGAUGAUGUCGCGCCGCCGCCAGUCCGCCAUGGCGACGCCGGGUCCAGCAGGGGCGCCCGCGUCAAGGAGGAGAAGUCCGACGACGACGAUGGCGGCGACGACUUCAGCCCCUUUCUUUUUUAGAUUAGGUUAAUGUAAUGAAAAUGCGUGAAUUUCGCCGAAAUUUGCCAUGUUUAGCUGAAAUUUAACUACUUCUUAUCAUAACUUUGCCGAAUGGCCCUUUUUUUAAUAUGCUCCUUGGGGCGGCCCUGGGGGCCGACGGCUGGGGACCGACUCGCCCCCAGGGCCAUUUUUUGCGCCGGCUCACCCCCAGGCGGCGCUUUUAGACGCCCCCUAGGGGGCCAACGGCUGGAGAUGCCCUUGGGACCUGUGGUAGAAGGUAUACCCAAUAGUUUAUUUCGGGUAUCCUAUGAAGACAUACUUCUUUGCUUUGGGUUGGAGCUUAUCGGGCUGAAGCUUUUUGACAUAAGCGUCGCAUCCCCAAACUUUAAGAAACGACAACUUAGGUUUCUUGCCAAACCACAGUUCAUAUGGUGUCAUCUCAACAGAUUUAGACGGUGCCCUAUUUAAUGUUGAGGCGAUUGUCUCUAGUGCAUGACCCCAAAAUGAUAUUGGUAAAUCAGUAAGAGACUUCAUAGAACGCACCAUAUCUAAUAAAGUAUGGUUGCGAUGUUCGGACACACCAUUACGCUGUGGUGUUCCAGGUGGCGUGAUUUGUGAAACUAUUCCAUAUUUUUUAAGUGAAGGCCAAACUCGUAACUCAAAUAUUUGCCUCCGUGAUCUGAUCGUAGAAACUUUAUUUUCAUGGUACAAUGAUUCUCCACUUCAUUCUGAAAUUCUUUGAAAUUUUCAAAUGUUUCAUACUUAUGUUUCAUCAAGUAGAUAUACCCAUACCUACUCAAAUUUUCUAUGAAGGUUAGAAAAUAAUGAUACCCGCCGCUUGCUUCAACACUCAUUGGACCGCAUACAUCGGUAUGUAUUAUUUCCAAUAAGCCAUUAGCUCACUCCAUUGUUCUAGAGAACAGAGUUUUAGUCAUAUUGCCCGUGAGCCAUGGUUCGAAAGUAUCAUAUGAUUCAUAAUCAAGUGAUUCGAAAAGUCCAUCCGCAUGGAGUUUAUUCAUGCGCUUUACACCAAUAUGACCUAAAUGGCAGUGCCACAAGUAUGUUGCACUAUCAUUAUCAACUUUGCAUCUUUUGGCAUCAAUAUUAUGAAUAUGUGUAUCACUACAAUCGAGAUUCGAUAAAGCAUUCUCAUUGGGUGUAUGACCAUAGAAGGUUUUAUUCAUGUAAACGGAACAACAAUUGUUCUCUGACUUAAAUGAAUAACCGUAUUGCAAUAAACCUUAUCCAAUCAUGUUCAUGCUGAACGCAAAUAACAAAUAAUGUUUAUUUAGGCUCAACACUAAUCCUGAAGGUAGAGGGAGUAUGCGAUGGUGAUCAUAUCAAUAUUGGAAUCACUUCCAACACACAUCGCAACCUCGCCCUUAACUGGUCUCUUAGCAACUGAACUGUUAUCAAAUACCCAGGGGCUGCUACGAGCACCAUUAAGGUGCACAUAAAUAACAUGUAUAUCAAAUAUACCUUUGUUUACUUUGCCAUCCUUCUUAUUUGCCAAGUAUUUGGGGUAGUUCCGCUUCCAGUGACCAUUUCCUUUGCAGUAAAAGCACUCAGUUUUAGGCUUGGGUCCAGCUUUGGGUUUUUCAUGGGAGCGACAACUUGCCUGCCGUUCUUAUUGAAGUUCCCUUUAUUUCCCUUGCCUUUUUAAUUAAAAUGGGUGGUCUUUCUAACCAUCAACACAUAACUCCUAUAUUUGACACGAAGAAAGCAGCAGCAAUAAAACUGAACGAUCAUUAUGCUAAGCUAACGGAUGGGUGUUGUCCAUCACAUCAUUCUACUAAUGAUGUGAUCCCGUUAUGAAAUGACAACUCAUGUCCAUGGCUAGGAAACUUAACGAUCUUUGAUCAAUGAGCUAGUCUAGUACAUGCAUACUAGGGACACAUAGUUUUGUCUAUGUAUUCACACAUGUAUCAAGUUUCCGGUUAAUACAAUUCUAGCAUGAAUAAUAAACAUUUAUCAUGAAUAAAGAAAUAUAAAAUAACAACUUCAUUAUUGCCUCUAGGGCAUAUUUCCUUCAGUGCUCCCCUCUCAUGGCCCAUAUGGCCCAUAUAUUCUCCUUGGGGGUUUCGGUAACCCCUCCGGUACUCUGAUAUGUACCUGGUACCCUCCGGAACACUUCCAGUGUCCGAAUACUAUCGUCCUAUAUAUCAAUCUUUACCUCUCGACCAUUUCAAGACUCUUCGUCAUGUCCGUGAUCUCAUCGGGGACUCCAAACAACAUUCGGUCACCAAAUCACAUAACUCAUAUAACACAAUAUCAUCAUCGAACGUUAAGCAUGCUGACCCUAUGGGUUCGAGAACUAUGUAGAGAUGAACGAGACACCUCUCCGGUCAAUAAACAAUAGUGGAACCUGGAUGCUCAUAUUGGCUCCCACAUAUUCUAUGAAGAUCUUUAUCGGUCGAACCGUUAUGACAACAUACAUUAUUUCCUUUGUCAUCGGUAUGUUAUUUGCCCGAGAUUCAAUCGUCGGUAUCUUCAUACCUAGUUCAAUCUCGUUAAUGGCAAGUCUCUUUACUCAUUACGUAAUAUAUCAUCCUGCAACUAACUCAUUAGUUACUUUCCUUGCAAGGCUUCUUAUGAUGUGUAUUACUGAGAGGGCCCAGAGAUACCUCUUCGAUACUCGGAGUGACAAAUCCUAAUCUCGAUCUAUGCCAACCCAACAAACACCUUCGGAGAUACCUGUAUAGCAUCUUUAUAUUCACCCAAUUACGUUGUGACGUUUGAUAGCACAUAAGGCAUUCCUCCGGUAUCCGGGAGUUGCAUAAUCUCAUAGUCGAAGGAAUAUGUAUUUGACAUGAAGAAAGCAAUAGCAAUAAAACUGAACGAUCAUAAUGCUAAACUAACGAAUGGGUCUUGUCCAUCACAUCAUUCUCCUAAUGAUGUGAUCAUGUUCAUCAAAUGACAACACAUGUCUAUGGUUAGGAAACUUAACCAUCUUUGAUUAAUGAGCUAGUCUAGUAGAGGCUUACUAGGGACACAUUGUUUUAUCUAUGUAUCCACACAUGUAUCAAGUUUCCGAUUAAUACAAUUCUAGCAUGAAUAAUAAAAUUUUAUCAUUAAAUAAGGAAAUAUUAAAUAACAACUUUAUUAUUGCCUCUAGUGCAUAUUUCCUUCAGUCUCCCACUUGCACUAGAGUCAAUAAUCUAGUUCGCAUCGCCAUGUGAUUUAACACCAAUAGUUCACAUCUUUAUGUGAUUAAGACCCAUAGUUCACAUCGCCAUGUGAUCAACAUGCAAAGGGUUUACUAGAGUCAACAAUCUUGUUCACAUUGGUAUGUGAUUAACACCCAAAGAGUACUUAGGUGUGAUCAUGUUUUGCUUGUGAGAGAAGUUUAGCCAACGGGACUGCCAUAUUCAGAUCCGUAUGUAUUUUGAAAAUUUCUAUGUCUACAAUGCUCUGCAUGGGGCUACUCUAGCUAAUUACAACCACAUUCAAUAUGUAUCUAGACUGAGACUUAGAGUCAUCUAGAUCAAUGUCAAAGCUUGCAUCGAUGUAACUCUUUAUGACGAACUCUUUAUCACCUCCAUAACCGAGAAACAUCUCCUUAGUCCUCUUUAAGGUAACUAAGCAUAAUUUUGACCGCUGUCCAGUGAUCUAUUCCUGGAUCACUAUUGUACCCCCUUGCCAAACUCAUGGCAAGGUACAUAACAUGUUUGGUACACAACAUGGCAUACUUUAUAGAACGUAUGGCUGAGGAAUAGGGAAUGACUUUCAUUCUCUCCUUAUCUUUUGUCGUGGUCGGGUUUUGAGUCUUUACUCAACUUCACACCUUACAAUACAGGCAAGAACUCCUUUUUUGACUGAUCCAUUUUGAACUCCUUCAAAAUCUUGUGAAGGUAUGUGCUCAUUGAAAGUCUUAUCAAGCGUUCUGAUCUAUCUUUAUAGAUCUUGAUGCCCAAUAUGUAAGCAGCUUCACAGAGGUCUUUCAUUGAAAAAUUCUUAUUCAAGUAUCCUUUUAUGCUAUUUACAAAUUCUAUAUCAUUUCCAAUCAACAAUAUGCCAUCCACAUAUAAUAUCAGAAAUGGUACAUAGCUCCCACUCACUUUCUUGUAAAUACAGGCUUUAUCGUAAGUCUGUAUAAAACCUUAUGCUUUGAUGACCUCAUCAAAGUGUAUAUUCCAAUUCUGAGAUGCUUGCACCAGUCCAUAGAUGGAUUGCUGGAGCUUGCACACUUCAUUAGCACCUUUAGGAUCGACAAAACCUUUUGGCUGCAUCAUAUACAACUCUUAUUUAAGAAAUCCAUUAAGGAAUGCAGUUUUGACGUCCAUUUGCCAUAUUUCAUAAUCAUAAAAUGCGGCAAUUGCCAACAUGAUUCGGACAGACUUGAGCAUCACUACGGGCGAGAAAGUCUCAUCAUAGUCAACUCCUUGAACUUGUUGAAAACCUUUUGCGACAAGUCAAGCUUUGUAGAAAGUAACAUUACCAUCAUCGUCAGUCUUCUUCUUGAAGAUCCAUUUAUUCUCUAUGGCUCGCCGAUCAUCGGGCAAAUCGAUGAAAGUCCAGACUUUGUUCUCAUACAUGGAUCCUAUCUCAAAUUUUAUGGCCUCAAGCCAUUUAUCGGAAUCUGGGCUCAUCAUAGCUUCUUCAUAGUUCGUAGAUUUGCGUUGGUCUAGUAACAUGACUUCCAAGACAGGAUUACUGUACCUCUCUGGUGCGGAUCAUGCUCUGGUCGACCCAUGAAAUUCAGUAGCAACUUGAUCUGAAGUUUCAUGAUAAUUAUCAUUAGCUUCCUCUCUAGUUGGUGUAGGAAUCACAUGAACGACUUUCUCUGAUGUGUUACUUUCCAAUUCGAGAGGAGGUACAAUUACCUCAUGAUAACCCACAAGUAUAGGGGAUCGUUUGUAGCCUCUACGAUAAAUAAGAGUGUCGAACCCAAGGAGGAGCUAAAGGCAGAACAAAUAUCCCCUCAAGUUCUAUCGACCACUGAUACAACUCUACACACACUUGACGUUUUCUUUUACCGGAAACAAGUAUGAAACUAUUUUGUAGGUGUGAUGCUAGAACUACUUUGCAAGAAUAAAACUAGAAGUACUUUGCAAGAUAAUAAAAGUUAGGUGUUUAGUAAAAGGGUUUGUGUCAACAAGAAAGUUAUUCGUCCCUAGGCAAUCAAUAACAAGUACUGGUAAUCAUUCUUGUAAUUUUAUAUGAGGGAGAGGCAUGAAGUAACAUACUUUCUGUACUUGGAUCAUAUGCACUUAUGUUUUGAACUCUAGCAAGAAUCCACAACUACUAAAGAUCAUUAAGGUCGUGAAACCCAACCAUAGCAUUAAGUAUCAAGUCCUCUUUACUCCCAUAUGCAAUACCCCACUUACUCGGGUUUAAGCUUCUAUCACUCUCGCAACCCACCAUAAGCGAACCAUGAACAUAUUGCAACACCCUACAGUGGGGCCCCCCUCAUGUUUGUGCGAGAACGGAGGGCACCGUAGGACAACACCAUAAAUAAAAUAUACAAUCACACCAACCAAGAUCACGAUUAACCCAUAUGACAAAACGGGUCUACUCAAACAUCAUAGGAUAACCAAAUAUCAUUGGGAAAUAAUAUAUGGAGUUGAGCACCAUGUUUAAGUAGAGAUUACAGCAAGGGGAAGAGGUGUUACAUCGCUGCAUAAAGGGGGAGAAAGUUGGUGUUGAUGGUAGCAAGAUUGUUGAUGUAGAUCGCCGUCCCGAUUGAUGCCUCGGCGGCACUCCGGCGCCACCGGAAGCGAGGGGGAGAGAGCCCCCUCCUUCUUCUUCUUCCUUGGCCUACCCAUAGAUUCGAGGAGAGUUCCCCCUCUCGUCCUUGCUCUCCAUGGCAGCGGAGGGGCGGGAGCCCCUCCGAUAUUGGAUCUCCCUCUCUGUUCUCUUCUGUUUCGCUCUCACCAGAUCUGGCCGAAAACCGUUUCUUAUAUUCUCGGAGAUCCGUAACUCUGAUUGCGCUAAUCUUUUUACACGAUUUUUUCCUGAUAUAAGCUUCCUUCGCCUGAAGUAGAGCUCCAACCAACAUACGAGGUGAGCAUAACCCACCAUCGCGCGCCAGGGGCCUGGGGCGCGCCCUGGUGUAUUAUGGUCCGUGUGGGCCUUCGUUCGCGGUGAUUCCAACUCCCAAAAAUCACAAAUAUUCCAAAAUAAUUCUCCAUGGAGUUGCAUCACGUUUGUACUUCAUUUGAUAUGGAUUUUCCGUGAUACAAAAACAGGCAAAAAACAUGAACUGACACUGGGCACUAGAUGAGUAAGUUAGUCCAAAUAAAUCAUAUAAAAAUUUGCCAAAAGUAUGUAAAAGUUGAAAAAUAUUGGCAUGAAACAAUCAAAAAUUAUAGAUACGACGGAGACGUAUCAGCAUCCCCAAGCUUAAUUCCUACUCAUCCUCGAGUAGGUAAAUGAUAAAAAAGAUAAUUUUUGAUGUGGAAUGCUACCUAACAUAAACUUGACCAUAUGUCUAGUCAUGGCAUGGAUAUUAAGACACAAGUGAUUCAAAGCAAUAGUCUAUAAUUUGACGUAAAGACAUCAAUACUUAGGCAUCCCAAUAAACAAUUAUGUCUUUCAAAAUAUCAACGCUAAAGAAAACUAUCCCUACAAAAUCAUAUAGUCUUGUCAUGCUCUGUCUUCUUAACACAAAGUAUAAAUCAUGCACAACCCAGAUGACAAGCCGAGCAAUUGGUUCAUACUUUUUAACGUGCUUCAACUUUUUCAGCCCUUACACAAUACAUGAUCACAAACCAUGGAUAUAGCACUAUGGGUGGAAUAGAGUAUGAUGAUAGGGGUAAAUAUAAAGAAGACAAAAAAGUAAGAAAGUCUCACAUCAAUGCGGCUAACCAAUGGGCUAUGGAGAUGCCCAUCAAUUGAUAUCAAUGCGAGGAGUAGGGAUUGCCAUGCAAUGAAUGCACUAAGAGCUAUAAGUGUACGAAAGCUCCAUAUGAAAACUAAGUGGGUGUGCAUCUAAUCCUAUAAUGAAAAAUUCCCAUUAGUAUAUGAAAGUGACAACAUAGGAGACUCUCCAUAUGAAAAACAUGGUGCUACUUUGAAGCACAAGUGUGGUAAAUGAUACUAACAAUGCCCCUUCUCUCUUUAUUUAUAUCUUUUCUUUUCUUUUUCCUUUUUCUUUUUCCUUUUUCUUUUUUCUUUUUCUUUUUCUUUUUUCCUUUUUCCUUUUUUUUCUUUUCCUUUUUUCUCUCUCAUUGUCCGGAGUCUCAUCCCGACUUGUGGGGGAAUCAUAGUCUCCAUCAUCCUUUCCUCACUAGGGCACUGCUCUAAAAAUGAUGAUCAUCACACUUCUAUUUACUUAUAACUCGAAAGGAAUAAAAAUUACAACUCGAUACCUAUAAAAAAAUAUGACUCUAUAUGAAUGCCUCUAACAGAUGAUCUAGCGUAACAUGUAUGAAAAACGAUGCACGAUGGCUAAGCCACAACUAUUAUGUCAGCUAUAUGAUCAUGCAAAGCAAUAUGACAAUGAAUGCUCAAGUCAUCAAACGGAAGCGGUGGAAGUUGCAUGGCAAUAUAUCUCGGAAUGUCCAUGGAAAAGCCAUAAUAGGUAGGUACGGUGACUGUUUUGAGGAAGAUAUAAUAAGGCUUAUGUGUGAUAGAGCGUAUCAUAUCACGGGUUUUGGAUGCACCUGCGAAGUUUGCACCACGUCUCGAGGUGAGAAAGGGCAAUGCACGGUACCGUAGAGGCUAGCAAAUUGUGGAAAGGUAAGAGUGCGUAUAAUCCAUGAACUCGCAUUAGUCAUAAAGAACUCAUAUACUUAUUGCAAAAUUUUAUUAGCCCUCGAAGCAAAGUACUACUACCCAUGCCCCUAGGGGGAUAGAUUGGUAGGAAAAGACCAUCGCUCGUCCCCGACCGCCACUCAUAAGGAAGACAAUCAAGGAUAAAUUGUGCUCCAACUUUCAUAGCAUAACAGAGACUAUACGUGCAUGCUUCGGGAAUCACAAACCUUAACACCAAUAUUCUUACUUAACCACAACCAUUUACUACUACUUCCCACAUAUUCCAUCUCUAUAUCGCAAAACUAUUGCAAGGAAUCAAACAUAUCAUAUUCAGUGAUCCAUAAAUUUUAUGUAGGAUUUUAUGACUAACCAUGAAAUUGACCAAUUCCUAUUGACUCUCUAAAUAGGUAUAAGUGAAGCAUGAGAGUUCAAUUCUUUCUACAAAAUACCAUGCUCUAACAAAUAUAAGUGAAGCAAAAGAGCAUUCUAUGAACAUCGGUUUUCUAUGUGAAGAGAAACAAGCAAUCCAAACUUCAAAUGAUAUAAGUGAAGCACAUGAAGCAUUCUAUAAAGCCAUAAUCAAAAGAUAUAAGUUUACUUCAAUGAGCACUCUAUAAAUCAACAAUGAAUAUCUCAUACCAGCAUGGUUCAUAAAAGAAAAGUGAAAACUAAAUGCAAAAGACGCUCCAAGAUUUGCACAUAUCAUAUGAACGAAACGAAUCCGAAAACAUACCGAUACUUGUUGAAGAAAGAUGGGAUGCCUUCCGGGACAUCCCCAAGCUUAGAUGCUUGAGUCUCCUUGAAUAUUUACUUGGAGUGACUUGGGCAUCCCCAAGCUUGAGCUCUUGCCUCUCCUCCUUCUCCUCAUAUCGAGACCUCCUCGAUCUUCGAACACUUCAUCCACACAAAACUUAAACAAACUUUAGUGGCGGGGUUAGUGAAAAUGGCAAUGAAAUCCCAUCAUGUACUGCUGCAACAUUAUUUUAUAAUUAUAAACAGACAUUACCCACCGUAUGCUAUCACAAUUUUAUGGCCCCAAGUCAAGGAGGCUUCAAGAAGAAUUCAAACAUACGCAAAUAAUGAAGCUAUAACAGCAAUCUGUGAAAACAGGACAGUCUGUAAAGAUUUGAACAUCCACCAUACUUCUGUAAUUCUAAAAUUAUGAAAAAAUUAGGAAAAAAAUAAAAAUUUUGUAUAUAAAGACAGUGCAAAAAGUUUCAUAACUGUUUGACGUUCCAGUAAAAAAUGUAAAAUCGUGUACUACAGCCAAAGUUCCUGUUUUGCACCGCACAAACCAACAAGCAAUCUACUCAUCCUAAAGGAAAAUCUUGUCACAUUAUUUUUAUAAUACAAUGGAAUCGUACAAGGGGAUACUUAUUCUUGUUGAAAAGUUUCUGCAAUUACGAUUCACAAAGUUACCGUGAGCAUGAACAAAGUUCAAGGAGCUCCCCCACUUCAACAAUGCUUGUCUCUCUCACUUUCACUUUCCUUUUUUGAAAAGUUUUGGGUUCCCCUCUAUAUAUUUUUUUGUUUUUAAACUAUAUAAAAACACUCAACAUAAAUAAAUGACUCUCUAAAACUUCCGGGUUGUCUCCCUGGCAGCACUUUCUUUAAAUCCAUUAAGCUAGGCAUAAAGUGCUCAAGUAAUGGAUCCACCUGGAUCCGAAGGUAUAUCAAAUCCAAUUUGAAUUAUCAAUGAUUUGGCAUUUAGUAGUGAGAAUAAAGCAACAUAUAUCAAGCAAUGACGAAGUCUAACUCUCUUCCUAUGCAUCGGCAUGUCAUACAAAAACAAUUCAUGCACAUCAAGCAAAGGCCAAUACAUAGCAUAAGCAGUUUGUUGCAAUUUUUUCGUGUUGGAAACAUAGAGAGGUGGAGAUGUAGUUCCUAUCUCAUAAUAAUUGCAAGUAGGAGCAGCAAGCAUAUGCAUAUUACAUUCAUCAAAAUCAUCAUGUGCAACGGUAGAAAGCAACCCAUCAGUAUAAUCCUUAAUAAGAGCAAACUUCUCCGAUAUAGUGUAGGUUGGAGAAUUCAAAAAGAUAGUAGGACUAUCAUGUGUGGGGGCAAUAGCAACAAUUUCAUUCUUAACAUAAGGAACAAUAUCAAGUUCAUCUCCAUAAGCAUAAUUCAUAUUGGCAUCUUGACCACAAGCAUAGAAAGCAUCAUCAAGAAGAGAUAUUUCAAACGAAUCAACUGGGUCAUAGCAAUUAUCAUAGCAUUCAUCCUUCGGUAAGGACGAAGGGACAUUAAACAAUGUAUGAGUUAAAGAGUUACUCUCAUUAGAAGGUGAGCACGGGUAGCUAAUCCGCUCUUCCUCCUUUUGUUCUUUGCUUUAUCCUCGUCAUCUUUUUCAUCCAAUGAGCUCACAGUUUCAUCAAUUCCUUCUUCCAUAGACUCCUGCAAACCAUUAGUCUCCUCUUGGACAGUGGAGAUUUUCUCAAUAAAUGCAUCAAUAUCAGAAUUGUAUUUGUAAUUAUCAUAGCAAUAUUUAAGGAUGGCAAAAAAUUUCAGCUCUAUAAAUUGGAUCAUCAAAAUCUCAUAGUUUUCAAACAAAGAUUCAAUUUCAUGAGCACCCUUAAAAGCAACAAAUUCUUCUACUCGUUCCACAUCAUAAUAAUCAUAUAUACCACUAGCAUAAGAAGCAAAGGUUUCAUUAUCAUUAAAUUUGCAUGAAAAAGGUGUGGAGCAUUCAUCCGAGAGCAACAAGUAUAAUCAUAUCUCAAGCAUAACUGCCUAGCAUACCAAGGCAACAUAUGAAUUUGAUCCCAUAAAAGUUAACCUUUUUGUGUCAAGCGAGAAUCCCUAAAGUAUUCACGUUGAUCCAAUGUUACUCCCAUUAUCAAGUUGAAUGGGGUUUUCUCAGGAUUAUAAAAGUAGUGCAUAAUAUAUUUCAGAUAACGGUCAUUGAGGGUUUUAGGAGGUUCCCCAUUGUCGGUGUCAAAACUGGAAGAUCUCGGGUAGGGGGUCCCAAACUGUGCGUCUGACGAUCGAAGGUAACCAGAGGCAGGGGGCACGAUGUUUACCCAGGUUCGGGCCCUCUUGAUGGAGGUAAUACCCUACUUCCUGCUUGAUUGACUUUGAUGAGUAUAGGGGUUACAAGAGUUGAUCUACCUCGAGAUCGUAAUGGUUAAACACUAGAUUUCUAGCCUGUAUGAUUAUGAUUGCCUCUAUGGACUAAACCCUUUGGUUUAUAUAGACACAAGAGGGACCUAGGGUUGUACAAAGUCGGUUUACAGCAAAGGAAGAUGCAUGAUUCGAACGCCAAGCUUGCCAUCCACGCAAAGGAGAGUCCCAUCUAGACACGAGGGAAGACCAUCUGUCUUGUAUCUUCACGACCCAUCAGUCCGGCCCAUGUCACAUAUCUCGGACGCCCGGGGACCCCCUAGUACAGGACUCCCUUAGUAGCCCCUGAACCGGGCUUCAAUGUCGACGUAUCCGUGCGCAGAUUGUCUUCGGCAUUGCAAGGAGGGUUCCUUCUCCGUAUACUCCAAAGCAGUCUUCCGCACAUAAGAGCCGUAUCCAGCCCUGCUUAACACUUACAACCCUAAGCUGUAAUGGCAAUAAUACUUAAAGCAAAAUAAGUCAUGUCCACGGGAAACUUUUUCAGAGAGACGUUAUUUUCUGGCCGUGUUAUUAUUCUGAACCGUUUUACAGCCCCCGCUUCGUGUUUCGAGGCACGGCCAUUGACAUGUCAUGUCAAAGCAGAGAUCGUGUCCCCUUAUCAUGGGAUUCUCAUCAAUGUAGGUUUGGGUAAUCCAACCGUGCCGUUCGCACGCCCCCUUGGGAAUAGGCAAGGUUUAAGGCUCAUGAGGGGGGCGCUUGAUAUUCACUGCCUUUAUAAGAGGACAAGGACCCAUCUAUUCACCUCAUGCCUUCUUCUUCCUCUGCCCUUCUGUCCCCGAGCUCCAGCACCCAAGCUCUAGUCUUUCCUUUUGCCCCAACUUCUCCGGCGAUGGCCAGAUCUGGUUUCCAGGGCAAGUGGAUGGCCUCCUCCGUAACGGAGAAGGACAUCAAGGAUCUACGCGAGGCGAGGUACCUAACGGCAGAGAUUAUCCACAGGCUUCCUUCCCCGGGGCAGGUCAUCCCCACCCAGAGCCCGGCGAGAGGGAGGGAUUUGUCGCCCACUUCCUCCGAGGACUUGUGUUCGCCCUCCACUCCUUCGUCCGAGGUCUCAUGUUUUACUACGGGAUGGAUUUCCAUGAUCUGGCCCCAAAUUCCUUCCUCCACAUCUCGGUGUUCAUCGUCGUGUGUGAGGCAUUUCUCCGCGUCCCCCCACACAUCGGCUUGUGGCUCAAGGUUUUUAAUGUGAAGCCAAAGGUGGUCGAGGGCCAACACGUCGAAUGCAGCAGCGACAUGGUGAGCAAGCUCAACCAUGUUACCUGUCCUAAAGGGAGAUUCUGGAUAUUGUCAAGGUAUGGAAGCAAGAGUGGUUCUACAUCACCGAACCCCACAACACCAAGUGGGCGGCCGCUCCUGCUUUUAGAUCUGGACCUCCGCUGCGGCUCGCGUGCUGGACCAACAAGGGUCUAGACUGGGGAUCCCCUGACGAAGUAUCGAUGCUGCAAAAGCGUAUCAAGAGUAUGAUAGAAAAGGACAUCACCCUAGCUGAUGUGAUUCAAGUGAUGCUCAUCCGCUGAGCUCUUCCCUGCCAACAACGGCCUCUCAAAAUCUGGGAGUUUAACCCGGAGGGGCCACAGACCCUUCAAUAUUCUUUGGCCCGACGCACAAAGGGAGCUGGAAGCUGCUCUUCAAGAAGCAGAAGACAUGGCCAAGGAUGUCCGAUGACACCGGCCUCGACUACAACAAUUCAGCAUCCCCAGUAAGUAUCAUAUUUCCGAACAUUACUUAUCUCGUCAAUCUUAGGGAGGGAUACUAAAAAUUCCAUCCCCUGAAUAGGGAUGGAUAAAUAAGGCAAAGCGGAUCAAAUGUCUGGUCCCGCUCCUCAAAAACCCAGCUAAGCCUCUGUUGAUGAGGAUGUUGGUCCCGGCGCCCUAUUAGGCACCAGUGAAGAAGGACAAAAAGAAGAAGAGCAAGGAGGCUGAAGGUGGCCUCCAUCACGAAGAUACUUCAGGCGCUAUGUCCGAAGGAAACGAGGCCCCUUCCUGUCACAAGGGAGACAAAGACGAGGAAGAAGAGGAGGAGGAGGAAGCAGAAAACCCUCCUCUCAAAGGGAAAAAGAGGGCAGCCUCGAAAGAUCUAGAGGAGGGGGCGUCCAAGAGGGGAAAGAUAUCCCUCUCGGACGAUUCAGAUUCGGACACCGAAGCUGUCCCCAAGCACCGCCCCCGAGCCAAGCCCCUUGCCGAAUCGUAAGUACCUUAGGAUGCCUUACGUACAUCCAAUCUUUUACAACUUGUAAGAAUAACAUCAAUUCAUGUGUUUUCAGUCCGGCCCAUGAUAUACCUCAAGAAUCAUCGUAAUCGGGGGAUCUUCCGCCGGAGGUGAUGGAGAGCAAAACACCUCCACAAGCUUCCUCACCUCCUAGGGUAGACGACAUCGAGGUGUCAUCUCGAAGGAUUUCUCCGAGCUUCGGAGAAGUGCAGAAGAGGACCAAGACGGCGCCAGAGGAUAACACAUUGGCUGCCGAAAACAUGAGGGGCGCAACCCUCAUGGAGACCGGCGACGGGUGUCUUGGAUCAUCCGACCCCCGCCCGGAUACUUUUCUGAAGAUACAAAUGGCUCUGAAGUCGAAUCAGCAGCCUCCUUCGAGGGAGGAGAAAGCGGCUAUUCCAACGGCGACCUCUACUAAUGCGGAGGCGCCGAACAUGCUGAUGGACGCUCUGCAAAGUGCGUCCGUCUUGGAGGAGCACCGUACCUUGAUGGGUACGAUGGUUGAGAAGAUUCAGUCCGCUAAAAGCGUCCUGAAUGAAGCCUUCACGAGCCUACUAAUAGGCUUCGAGGUAUCCGAUGUAAUGUCUUUAGCCGCUUUACAUAUGAAAAAUAUGCCUGUAUAUAGAUAGUAGCCCCUGAGACUCUGAUCGGCCCAUGAAGGAGGGCGAACAAAGGAUCUAUAGACAUCCGCAGGAAAUAACAUACUUAUCUUUUUGCUAAAAAAACAUGCUUCACUGUUAGUGGUGACCGCUCAGCGGAAACUGCGGCUGGCCAACGAGGACAAUAUCUUUAUUAACAAGUAGCUCGACGAGGCGCAAGGUAUGUUUCAAGUACGCUGCGCAUGAUUGUAUUAGUUCGCAAAUGCUAAGUUGAAGCUUACUCGCUACUAUAUGCAUAAUUGCAGAUGGCGCUGCUGAGGUCGAGGCCCUCAGGAGUGACCUUGCCCGCGCAAAGGAGCAGGCAAGGGUGAGCAAUGCGGCCGCUGAGAAAAUGGCUGCGGAUUUGAAGGCUGAACAGGCCAUCCGAUGCCAGUUCGAGGAGCGGGUAUCCAAAGUUGAGCAAGAGCUCAAGGACGCCACUCGCAAGUGCAAGCUCCUCGAGGGGGAGAAUAAAGCUAAGGCGUCCGAACUCGCCAAGGCCCUUAAGGAAGCCCAAGACGUGAGGUUCGAAUCCCGAGUGGCUCACGAGGAGAUCCGACAGGCAGGACAUAUAGCGGCUGGUAAGCCCUUUCUUUUACAGUCUAAGUUUGGCGAUCAAAGGUAUGCCUUGCUUAAUUGACUAUGCAGUUCUCUAGACGCUUUUGCGGAUCUUCCGAAGAGUGCUGCCGAUGCUAUGCAAUUCUAUCGAGCUCAGGAGGGGCAUGCGACGGAGAAGCUGUUCUGGUCGUAGUUCGUGACACAGGAGCGCUCGACGCUGCUGAACGACCAAAUGGCGCAGUAGGCCGAGCUGCAUAAGAUGUCCGGAGUGGUCAUGAAGGGUGUAAUAGUCCGGCUGUGGCCAGCCGAACCCGUUCUGAGUAGCUAUUUUGGCCUAGUGCGGCGACUCGUCGAUGCCGUGCUCCGAAUUGAUGCGAUCGAGUGGUGAGUGUGCGUAGAAGGUGCACGGAUGGCCUUAUCACGUGUCAAGAUGCACUGGGCGAAGAUGAAGGCCGCCGUUAUCACAGUCGAGGGUCCUCCCAGAGGCAAGGGCCCCAAGUUUCUACCGGAGAGUCAAGACGAAAAUGUGUGCCAACCCCUAUGCAUAGAUUCCCAAGGUUACAGAACCCGCAAGUUGAUCACCAAAACAUACAUCAAGUGGAUCAAUAGAAUACCGCAUUGUCACCACGGGUAUCCCACGCAAGACGUACAUCAAGUGUUAUCAAAUCCGUAAAGACUCAAUCCAAUAAGAUAACUUCAAAGGGAAAACUCAAUCCAUUACAAGAAAGUAGAGAGGGGGAAACAUCAUAAGAUCCAACUAUAGUAGCAAAGCUCGCGAUACAUCAAGAUCGUGCCAUAUCAAGAACACGAGAGAGAGAGAGAGAUCAAACACAUAGCUACUAGUACAUACCCUCAGCCCUGAGAGUGAACUACACCCUCCUCGUCAUGGAGAGCGCCGGGAUGAUGAAGAUGGCCAACGGUGAUGGAUCUCCCCUCCGGUAGGGUGCCGGAAUAGGGUCCCGAUCGGUUUUUGGUGGCUACAGAGGCUUGCGGCAGCGGAACUCCCGAUCUAGGUUUCUUUUUGGGGGUUUCUGUAUUUAUAGGAAUUUUUGGCGUCGGUCUCACGUCAGGAGGGUCUCCGAGUCAUCCACGAUGCAGGGGGCGCCCCCAGGGGGUAGGGUGCGCCCUCCACCCUCGUGGAUGGCUCAAGACUCUUUUGUCCCAACUCUUUUACUUUGGGGGCUUCUUUUAGUCCAUAAAAAUCCACAAAAAUUGGCAGGUCAAUUGGACUCCGUUUGGUAUUCAUUUUCUGUAAAACUCAAAAACAAGGAAAAAAACAGAAACUCGCACUAGGGUUUAGUUUAAUAGGUUAGUCCCAAAAAUCAUAUAAGAUAGCAUAUAAAUGCAUACAAAGAAUCCAAGAUUGAUAAUAUAAUAGCAUGGAAUAAUAAAAAAUUAUAGAUACGUUGGAGACGUAUCAAGUAUCCCCAAGGUUAAUUCCUGCUCGUCCUUGGGUAGGUAAAUGAUAAAAAUAGAAUUUUUGAUGUGGAAUGCUACCUAACAUAUUUAUCAAUGUAAUCUUCUCUAUUGUGGCAAGAAUAUUCAGAUCCAUAAGAUUCAAAACAAAAGUUUAAUAUUGACAUAAAAACAAUAAUACUUCAAGCAUACUAAUAAAGCAAUGUCUUCUCAAAAUAACAUGGCCAAAGAAAGCUAUCCCUACAAAGUCUUAUAGUAUGGCUAUGCUCUAUCUUCAUCAUACAAAACAUUUAAAUCAGGCACAACCCCGAUGACUAGCCAAGCAAUUGUUUCAUACUUUUGAUGUUCUCAAACUUUUUCAAUCUUCAUGCAAUACAUGAGCGUGAGCCAUGGACAUAGCACUAUAGGUGGAAUAGAAUGGUAGUUGUGGAGAAGACAAAAAGGAAGAAGAAGAUAAUCUCACAUCAACUAGGCGUAUCAAUGGGCUAUAGAGAUGCCCAUCAAUAGAUAUCAAUGUGUGUGAGUAGGGAUUGCCAUGCAACGGAUGCUCUAGAGCUAUAAGUGUAUGAAAGCUCAAAAAGAAACUAAGUGGGUGUGCAUCCAACUCGCUUGCUCAUGAAGACCUAGAGCAUUUUGAGGAAGCCCAUCAUUGGAAUAUACAAGCCAAGUUCUAUAAUGAAAAGUUCCCACUAGUAUACGAAAGUGACAACAUAGGAGACUCUCUAACAUUUAAGAAUUUCAGAUCUUGGGAUAGUAUUCAAACAACAAUUAAAACAAAAUAAAAUAAAAUGAUGCUCCAAGAAAAACACAUAUCAUGUGGUGAAUAAAAAUAUAGCUCCAAGUAAGGUUACCGAUGAACGAAGACGAAAGAGGGGAUGCCAUCCAGGGCAACCCCAAGCUUAGGCUCUUGGUUGUCCUUGAAUAUUACCUUGGGGUGCCUUGGGCAUCCCCAAUGUUAGGCUCUUGCCACUCCUUAUUCCGUAGUCCAUCAAAUCUUUACCCAAAACAUGAAAACUUUACAACACAAAACUCAACAGAAAACUCGUAAGCUCCGUUAGUAUAAGAAAAUAAAAUCACCACUUUUGGUACUGUUAUGAACUCAUUCUAAAUUCAUAUUGGUGUAAUAUCUACUGUAUUACAACUUCUCUAUGGUUCAUACCCUCCGAUACUACUCAUAGAUUCAUCAAAAUAAGCAAACAACACAUAGAAAACAGAAUCUGUCAAAAACAGAAUAGUCUAUAGUAAUCUGUAACUCUCGAAUACUUCUGUAAAUCCAAAAAUUCUGAAAUAAAUUGGUGGACGUGAGGAAUUUCCCUAUUAAUCAUAUGCAAAAAAAUCAACUUAAAAGCACUCUGCUAUAAAAAAAAUGACAACUAAUCUCGUGAGCGCAAAGUUUCUGUUUUUUACAGCAAGAUCGCAUUAACUUUCACCCAAGUCUUCCCAAAGGCUUUACUUGGCACUUUAUCGAAACAGAAGCUAUAAAACAUGAUUACUGCAGUAGAUUAAUCAUGUGUACACACAAAAACAAUAGGAGUAAAUAUUGGGUUGUCUCCCAACAAGCGCUUUUCUUUAAUGCCUUUUUAGCUAGGCAUGACGAUUUCAAUGAUGCUCACAUAAAAGAUAAGAAUUGAAACAUAAUGGGAGCAUCAUGAAGAAUAUGACUAGCACAUUUAAAUCUAACCCACUUCCUAUGCAUAGGGAUUUUGUGAGCAAACAACUUAUGGGAACAAGAAUCAACUAGCAUAGGAAAGCAAAACAAGCAUAGCUUCAAGAUUUUCAACACAUAGAGAGGAAACUUGAUAUUAUUGCAAUUCCUACAAGCAUAUAUUCCUCCCUCAUAAUAAUUUUCAGUAGCAUCAUGAAUGAAUUCAACAAUAUAACUAUCACAUAAAGAACUCUUUUCAUUAUGCAUAAGCAUAGAAUUUUUAUUACUCUCCACCUAAGCAAAUUUCUUCUCACGAAUAGUAGUGGGAGCAAACUGAAAAAUAACUAUCAUGUGAGGCAUUAUCCAAUUGAAAAUUAAAAUCAAGAUGACAAGUUUCAUGGUUAUCAUUAUUCUUUAUAGCAUACAUGUCAAUAAUCAUCAUAGAUAGCAACUUUGUUCUCAUAAUCAAUUGGAACCUCUUCCGAAAUAGUGGAUUCAUCACUAAAUAAAGUCAUGACCUCUCCAAAUCCAGUUUCAUCAAUACAAUCAUAAGAUUCAACACCCUCCAAAAUAGUGGGAUCAAUACUACCUAAAGUUGGCACUCUUCCAAACCCACUUCCAUCAAUAUAAUCAUCAUAGAUAGGAGGCAUGCUUUCAUCAUAAUAAAUUUUCUCAUUAAAACUUGGGGGACUAAAAAUAUCAUCUUCAUCAAACAUAGCAUCCCCAAGAUUUUGGCUUAGCAUAUCAUUAGCAUCAUGGAUUUUCAAAGAAUUCAUACUACCAACAUUGCAAUCAUGAUCAUUAUUCAAAUAUUUAGUGCCAAACAUUAAAAUGCAUUCUUCUUCUAGAACUUGAGCACAAUUUUCCUUUCCAUCAUUUUCACGAAAGACAUUAAAAAGAUGAAGCAUAUGAGGCACCCUCAAUUCCAUUUUUUUGUAGUUUUCUUUUAUAUACUAAACUAGUGAUAAAACAAGAAACUAAAAGAUUCGAUUGCAAGAUCUAAAGAUAUACCUUCAAGCACUAACCUCCCUAGAAAUGGCACCAGAAAAGAGCUUGAUGUCUACUACGCAACCUUAUUCUUGUAGACGUUGUUGGGCCUCCAAGGGCAGAGGUUUCUAGGAAAGUAGCAAAUUUCCCUCAAGUGUUUGACCUAAGGUUUAUCAAUCCAUGGGAGGCGUAGGAUAAAUAUGGUUUCUCUCAAAUAACCCUGCAACCAAAUAACAAAGAGUCUCUUGUGUCCCCAACACACCCAAUACAAUGGUAAAUUGUAUAGGUGCACUAGUUCGGCGAAGAGAUGGUGAUACUAGUGCAAUAUGGAUGGUAGAUAUAGGUUUAUAUAAUCUGAAAUUAUAAAAACAGCAAGGUAACUAGUAAUAAAAGUGAGUGUAGACGGUAUUGCAAUGCUUCGAAACAAGGCCUAGGGUUCAUACUUUCACUAGUGCAAGUUCCCUCAACAAGGAUAACAUAAUUGGAUCAUAUAACAAUCCCUCAACAUGAAACAAAGAGUCACUCCAAAGUCACUAAUAGCGGAGAACAAACAAAGAGAUUAUUGUGGGGUACGAAACCACCUCAAAGUUAUUAUUUCCGAUCAAUCCAUUGGCCUAUUCCUAUAAGUGUCACAAACAACCCUAGAGUUCAUAGUAAAAUAAAGCCUUAAGACACACAUCAACCAAAACCCUAAUUUCACCUAGAUACUCCAAUGUCACACAAUAUCCGAUUCAUCUAUUCAAACCAACACAAAGAACUUCAAAGAGUGCCCCAAAGUUUCUACCAGAAGAGUUAAGACAAAAAUGUGUGCCAACCCCUAUGCAUAGAUUCCCAAGGUCACAGAACCCGCAAGUUGAUCACCAAAACAUACAUCAAGUGGCUCAAUAGAAUACCCCAUUGUCACCACAGGUAUCCCACGCAAGACAUACAUCAAGUGUUCUCAAAUCCUUAAAGACUAAAUCCGAUAAGAUAACUUCAAAGGGAAAACUCGAUUCAUUACAAGAAAGUUGAGAGGGAGAAACAAGAUAAGAUCCAACUAUAUAGCAAAGCUCACGAUACAUCAAGAUCAUGCCAUAUCAAGAACACGAGAGAGAGAGAGAGAGAGAGAGAGAGAGAGAGAGAGAGAGAUCAAACACAUAGCUACUGGUACAUACCCUCAGCCCUGAGGGUGAACUACUCCCUCCUCGUCAUGGAGAGCGCCAGGAUGAUGAAGAUGUCCAUCGGUAAUGGAUCCCCCUUCCAGUAGGGUGCCAGAACAGGGUCCCGAUUGGUUUUUGGUGGCUACAGAGGCUUGCGGCGGUGGAACUCCCGAUCUAGGUUUCUUUUCGGGGGUUUCUGUAUUUAUAGGAAUUUUUUGCGUCGGUCUCACGUCAGGGGGGUCUCCGAGUCAUCAACGAGGCAGGGGGCGCCCCUAGGGGGCAGGGGCUCGGGACUCUUCUGGCCCAACUCUUUUACUUCAGGGGCUUCUUUUGGUCCAUAAAUCCACAAAAAUUGGUAGGUCAAUUGGACUCCGUUUGGUAUUCCUUUUCUGUAAAACUCAAAAACAAGGAAAAACAUAAACUCGAAUUGGGCUCUAGGUUAAUAGGUUAGUCCCAAAAAUCAUAUAAAAUAGCAUAUAAAUGCAUAUAAAACAUCUAUAAUUGAUAAUAUAAUAGCAUGGAACAAUAAAAAAUUAUAGAUACAUUGGAGAAGUAUGAACCUUCGACGAGGUCAUGUUGGAUGCUAAAAACCUGCAUCUAGAUCUCUUUUGCCAUUUGGAACCGUUGGACCAGAGGGCUAUGGUUUGGAUAAUUAGGAUUAGAUGACUAGUCUAACUGAAGAAGAUGAUUAUUUAAAGGGGCUUUGGAAUUACUCCAGGAGUAUGUGAAGAGGUUAAAAUGAUGUGAAUGCAGUGGGGUUUGGAUGCAAAUGAAGAUGAAGGAGAGGUGAAGAAGCCGAGGAAAAUCGGUUCCCGAUGGAGAAGUAAAUGGGAGAAGUGGCCUACAGGCAGUUGAUUAGACGGCUAGGUAGACUAAACGAAAAGGCUAUGCGAGUAAAUCGAGGAGUGGUAAUUGUCCGUGUACGUGCCCGUCCUUCUAGCGCUACAUGUGCCACUGGCUAGUUGAGGUCACUCUUUCGAAUCACCGUGGCGAGAAAUUUUAUGAUCCCUUUUUAUUUCUGCACCCCUCCUGACAGGUGGGAUCUAUGCAAACAGAUAUUAAAAAUGUGCCAUAGCUGGUUCAGAUGGAUAUUGGCGCGUGCUUGGGAGACACAACAUUCCGUGGUUAAGGAAAAUGAGUUUAUCCUCAAAAAGAAAAGAAAAAGCCCUUCUUUGCGCUUCCGCAUGCACAAGAAUUUGGUUCUGCUCGCAAUAUGGAUGAUACCUGGAGGAUGAAGUGAACCCAGAGGCAUGCUAGCACGGGAGACCUAUUUCCGCUAUGCAGUACUACUCUGUAUCUUCCUACUAGUAGUAGUACAACUGUGGUACACUUGAUGGUCAAAAUAUUAUACAUCUGGUCCUCACAGUGAAGUGACAAGACCCUGUGCCCGAGGUGACACUAGUCCACGCGGCGUGUUCUGGUUACCAAAGUUAGCCUCACCUUGUGCACUAUGCAGUCACUAUCACCACUGAUGUAUAGCGUGACUCGCCUCAUCUCCCUCUCCCCUAGCACCACUCCAUCUCCAUCUCCGUCUCACCGGAGAUCCUGAGGUCACUCUUCAUCAUCUCACUAUGCCCCCGUGUACCCUCGCCCCACUCGCCUCCCCCAGUACCACUAUUCCCUCGCUAGCCGCUCCAGCAUCGAGAGCCUUCUCCCCCGUAAAUCAAGCCCCCCAAAACCCCACCUUCCAAACUCCACCAUGGACAAACACAAACCGCACAAGAUCCAUAUGAGCCGUGAUCAGAGAAUUCUCCCCAGUGACAUCCUUGACCUCUGUUGUUCGUGUAUGGAUAUGUUGAGCACCAUGUGGCUGGCUGCAUGCUCGAGGGACAUGCACAUGGCCAUCAUCGAAGUGAGGCCUAAGCUUUUCAUGACACCCUGCUUGCUGCUAUCUAGUCUUGCGAGAUUUGCUCACCAUGAUACGGAUGAGUACAUGAUGCCCCUCGACUUCAAUCCGACCUCCGUUAGCCGAAACUUCUUUGCAGGUAUGUAGUGAGUCUCCGUACAUCAUUUCCCCCGACUUCGAUCCGAUCACCAUCGCCCGAAACUUCUUGGCAAGUAUGUACUAGGAUGGCAUAAACUCCCACUAGAUGGCUGCCGUCAGAGAAAACGGGAAAAAGUUGGUGCUCAUGAACUUCCAAACCUCCCAUGAGAUUAUCCUUCCUCCGUUGGAUUAUAUAGGGUUUUACCAUUACGUUACAAGUCAUCUAGAUUACCACGUGAGUUGGACGAACCUUGUUUUGUAGAAGAUUGUAAUCUUCCAAGUGCCCACACGUCAUGCAGAUUAUGCAGACUUCAAGCUAAUUGUCUUGUUCGACCGCGGACUCGCCUAUCUUUAUGCCGGUGCCUUCUUUAGCUGGAGACAACUCAGCUCGCAGUGGAUCUUCAAAGCUGAUACACACUUCUGUGUUUCUAUUGAACACAAUGGCAUCAUCUACGCGAUCGACAAAGCAGAUGACACCACGUAUUGCUGGGACGGUGCGUGUAAGUUGUUUUUGUCUGAUGUUAAUGAUAUCACCAUGACGCUGUUUGAACUUUUUGUGAUGAUUGGCAUAUCCCUGUUUGAGCAGAAUUUAAGUAGAACUAUGGCAGUGUAUCACAAUGUAUUAGAUACGUCGUAAAUCAUCUAUAUUAUGAAUGAGUUAAUUCAUGCGAUUGUGACCAUGGCAUUACAGCCAAUUUGUAACCUUGAAUAAUCAAACGGUUAGGAAGAUAAGGAUAUUCUCCUUACUUUAUAGUAAUCUAUAUACUACUAAAUAUGAGUGUGUAUCAAUAGCCAUGUUAGUUUCCUUAUUUUCAUGAUGUAGAAACAUGCAUCACAUUGUUGGUUUCAUCUAACCAUACAUUAGGGAAGUAAAUGUGCAUAUGGAGAACUCUAUAUUUGGAAGUAGUGAAAUCCCUUAAUGCUUACCAUGUGUACGUACCUAUAUUUGCCCUUCAACAAUCAAUGGCUAGAAUAAUAUCCUCACAAAAAAAUUUGCCCACAGAACAUGAGUAUAUAACAAUGCAUGGUCUAUUAGUUUCCUUGAAGAAUUUGUUUGUGAGGACAGAACAUGAUUACAUAACAUGCAUGACAUGGUAGUUUCCUGUGAAGAACCGAUUGCGAGAUAACAUGAGUAUAACCAUGCAUGGCACUUCUAUAUUUUCGAACCCAGUAUAUAUUUCCCUGUAUUUUCCUCUCAGUUCCAACAGGGACAUAUCAAUGUUGUUUCUUGCAUUAUCCUACUCAUACUCUGAACAAUGCUGAUCUUACAUUAACAAUGCAUAUCCUUUUUGAUAUGAUGUAGUGUCCCUACAACUACUGCUCUUUGUUAUCACACCACGUUUGCCAAAAAUAGGGAAGCACAACUGGUUCCUCGCUCGAUCAGUCGACGACAAAACACUAAAGAUCAUUCGCACACAUGAGCCGGAAAAGUUAUAUUGUAAAAAACCCACUGCGUACAAGCACCAUGAAAUACGUGAGUAUCCGGAUAGUGGCUGUUAUGUCUAUGCGUAGGAUACUAGCUUGUUGGGGCCUUCGGGAUUUUUGAGUUGGAGGCGGGUAAACAGCCUUGGUUCACACUCUCUGUUUCUUGGACUCAAUUAUCCGGUUAACCACGAGAUCACCGUUGGCAAGGACGUUGAUGACAGAGAGGCUAUGUUUGUUGUGGAAAACUUUGUCUACAUGGCGAGCCCUAGGACUGCGGGAGCAAACUCCCCUGAUUGUCAAUGAUACGACCUGCAACCAAAAGAAGGUGAGAAUGACAAAGGCAUCUAGAUUAACUUUGAUCCUUGGAUGUCUCAAGUCCGACAGGCAGUGAUGUGGUUCAAGCCUUCAAGUUGGUAGGUAAUUGGGCUAUUGCGUCAAAAGGGUGGAGUGCUGGUCUCUCCAGAUCACUGGUGGCUGAAGCGGGGCUGCAAAUUAUGAUGGUGUUGGAUCAUCCCUCUUCGAAUGACUUGUUGACUUUGCUGCUUAUUCUGGAUGAGUAUUUCUCUCUUUUGUUAUGCAUAUUCCUUAUCAUUUGGUCAUCCUCGUCUAUGUCACUCUUACUAUGUAAUAGUUUCCUCUAUUUACAAUUUCAUUCCCGUCUAGAUCACGAGAGUCUGAGCGUUGCAGAUGGGUGCGUUUUGGUGGUGUAGCAAGACUUCUUACGAACAAUCAUGUCUUGAUGUUUAUGUCAGUAGUAGUCACUAGCCAGUGUCUGAAUGUUGUAUAUAUCUUUGUUUCGAACUGUUUAUUGCCUCGAACUACUGGUGGGCUAAAUGAGGGCAUCACCAUUCUCUAGUGUUCAGAAUAUAUCUCCCUUUUCAAGUUAUAAUUUGAGUUCAGUGUCUUUUCGAUGAUGUACACUUGUUUGGGCCAGUGAGGUGCCAUUGAAUAUGGGCCGAGUAGUAACACAAUGCCAAAUAGGUCAAUUAUGACUCUCAGGCCGGGUGUAAUGCCCGGAUAAUCAAGCUACAGUAAUCCCUUACUAAUGAUGCCAAGUCAUCACUGUUACCGUCGCUAAUCGUACUUAGAUUCAAAACCAAUUCAAAUUCAAUCUUAAAAUAAAGUCAAAUAAAUUAUUUCUCCAAAUAGUAAAACAAAAAUGUUCGUUGGGUUGCAAAUAUUCACUAACUAAAUGUCAUGAGUGAUUCAACAUCAUUUGAGAUAGCUAAUUUCCCAUGGGCAUUAAAGCAAUUCCAAAUCAGCAUUUUUAAAUGCUUUUCCAUUUGUGCAAAAUCUAAAUCAAUUCAAACUCCUCCCAAACUUUUUGUGGCGGGUGCCAAAUAUUGUAAUGUAUUUAUUUGGCCAAGUCCCACAAUUUUGCAGAAUUCCUUUUGGCAGCUCAAAUAUUGCAUAGCAUUUUUGCUGUUAAAAAGAAAAAGCAAAAGUCUUAAGGGAAAAGGAAACCCCCUGGCUCCCCUGGGCUUUGGCCCACUCCCACACAGCCGACCCACUACACCAUUCCCUCGGUCGACCUCCUGUUCCCCCGACCGGGGUCGCUACAGGGGGCGCCACCGGACCAGCUCGACGGCGCCGACGAGUGGAUAAGGACGCCGACGUCGUGCCCCCUCGGGCUCCCCUCCCUACUUGCCCCUCGCUCUCCCACUCACUCUCUCCCCCCCCCUUCCAGAUCUGUAGCGCCCGAGCGCGCCCAUGGACGCGCCGCCGUGCUAACCACGGCCACCGUCGUCCCCGAGCCCCUCCGACUAGUCCCCGAGCACCGUCAUCCUCCUCUACGUCCUCCACGCCGACGAUUUGGAUCCGGGGAGCUCUAUAGCGCUGGAUCCCCUUCGUCAUCUUCCUUGGGUCGCCUCUGUCGCCUUCGACUCCGGCUACCGCCACCCUCCCAUCUACGUCGCGCCGCUGCUGCUAUUAAUCCAUCAUCGGGCCCCGUGCGCCCACACGGUGAGCACCCGCGCCCCGCUUCCCUUUUCCCUCGUCGCCGUAGGUCGCGUCCCGCCUCCCCUGCCUGGAGUUGUGUCGUUGCGCCCGAGCACGCACACACCCUGGCUCUGGCCGCCUUGGCCGCGCGCUCCACGCCCUAGGCCGCGUUCGCCACUGCCCGCAUUCCCCUUGUUCGCGCCCCUGGACGCCCCUCCCCGCACCCGUCUUGCCUAGCGCCGUGCCUGCGGUGGCCCUUGCAACCCCGCCUCUCCGCCGGCCGCCCCGGCCACCACCGCGACCCUGCACGGCGCUCGCCCCGCUCUCCCCUUCCGCUCCGGCUCGCUGCCGGCCCCGUCCGCCGCUCGGUCGCCUCGUCGGCGCCUCUCGCAACCCGGUCGACCUCGCCAUGGCUGCGGCCCCUCCGGCCGUUGCCGUGGCCAAUGCCCCUGGUGGCCUCGGUCGCGGGUGCAUGCCCGUUGACCCGCUCCGCCCCUCUAGUCUAACUAGUAGAACGCCCGUGCGUUGCUACGGGCUAUGCAUAUAAAUAAAUAAAAAAUUAUUAAGGUUGUCUUCGUCGACGCCCUUCAUCCCUCUAAACCCGCCACCAACUUUGUUGCUUGCGACUUCCCCCUUAGCCACACUUGAAUAUGAACCCCUGCCUCUCCUCCGUCGGUAACGACCCAAUGUUAUUGUUGUUCUUUUUCCUCCCAACACCGCCUUUUUUGUCCACUCUACAAAACCGCCCACCUCUCUUUGCCUAACCCCUAGCCACUGCCACCCGUAAAUGAGAAGGUCGUUGCUUCCUGGCCCGAGUCACCGCCGCCAACACUACCCACAACUGAGGAGUCCUGAUGCACUCCCCCUUGCCGCCCCCUUGCCCAAGUCCACGCCUACAUCAUGCAUUGGUACGGGAGACAAAAAUCGUCGAUGAUCGUCACAUUGUCCACCUAUUCUUGAUGAACACGGAGCUUCACACGAAUGCUUGGAAGGGCAAAAGACUUUUAGGACCCCAUGCACAUCAAGCAACAUUGUCAAUUUUGUUAUCAUUAUAGGACAUUUUUUCCCGUUCUUCCUUCUCAACCCACAUACCAAGUAACCAAUUCUGGUUAAACAUAGUAAUUUACGAAAUUUUAUAUGAUUUGCAAGAAUUCCACUGACCGAGACAUUCUAAGAAUGCCAAAAGGUUGUGAAUAAUCUCAAGCAACUACUCCCUCUGUCCCAAAAAGCUUGUCUUAAAUUUAUGGAUACGGAUAUAUCUAGACACGUUUUAGUGUUAGAUUCAACCGUAUGUAGAUAAAUCUAAUACAAGAUUUUUAGGACAGAGGUAAUAUAAUUUUCUGAAUUUAGUCCAUAUACUUAACCUUUUCAGUAUGCAUAGAGCAAUGAUACACAUUAUGCCAGUAAACCUCAACCGGAUCAUCUUUGUGUGCAUGUUGAACUUAGUAUAUAUGUACAGCUAACUUGAAUGAUAACAAAUAUUUGCAUACAAAUAAGAUGGAUGUUUUAGUAGAACUGAAGUGUACUCAACAUGAAAAAGAGAACUGAAGUAUACUAAUGCCCAACAGGAAAAGCGCACUUCUAUUUACUUGGCAGAAACUCCUAAAUAGUUGUAUCUUAACAUAAGUAGGCAGAAGCACUAAAUUGUACAUAGGAGAGAGGAAUGACACUUCAAAAUUUGGAUAGUCCCAAACCACAGCUAAUUAAAGUCCAGGUGCAGUGGAGAGUAAAAAAAAUGGAAGGAUUUUUUCUCUAGCACACAUUUCUUAUCCUCUCUCUUUUGCUUUUUCUUUCUUUUACUCUCAACUUUUAUUUGAGAGAAUCCUUUACUCUCCACUUAACCACACCAUAACUGAACUGCAACUCUGCAAGCCCAAACUGCAAGACCAAUUUUCUAUCUCACACAGGAGCGGUCACGCAAGUCAUCUUCGUUCUUUCAUUGAACCGAACCACACCACAGACUGAACUGAGCCC